CAAAUUGCUUUUUAAGUUAAGAGAGCAAGAAAGAGAGAGAAAGAGUCAGAAAGAAAGAAAGAGAGCGACAAUGUGAGGCAGAGAGGAGCGGGGACAAAAGGGCAGCUGCAGAAACAUUUGGCUGUGCCGAAGGGUAGUGGGCUCAACAUGUUAAGUGUGGGACCAGCUUGGGCCUGAAGUUCGCGGGGAGCUGCGUGCCAGGCUGCUGCACAUGGCCACAGCAGGCCCAGCCGUUACGCCGAGGAGAAUCACUCUGUACUAUUGCUCUGCAAACAGCUGUUCACCGCACAGCUGCCCAGGCAAGCACAAAGUGGAGCUUUCCUGUCCGAUCUCCUCUUCGCUCCAGGUGCUCCUUAUAAUAUUAAGGCCCGCUCGUGGUUGCGGGCGAAUGCCAGCGUGAGUGUGAGUGUGAUCGUGGCCGUGUAGAGAUGCCAACCUCUCCGCUCCCUGCAAGCUCCAGCAGCGCUCGCCCCAUCUGUCGCCUUCACCAACCUGCAGCAGUGCAGGAGUGGCCCGAGGCCUACUCGCAGGAUUAAUGCACACAACCUGAACUGGGUUACAGAGAGAGAGAGAGAGAGACACGAGCUCAGCCUGUGGGACCUGGCACCACCAACUUGCCACAUUCCCUCUCACAAUGCAGCAUUAUCCGUGGCCGCGCGGCACCCUUGGCAGGAGACGGAAGAGGAAUCCUGAGGCUUCUGAGAUUGAGGAUGAAUGUGAUAGGUGCGCUCUGUAACUUUGAUGUGUCCUCUAAAAUAAAAACGAGAGAGAGUGAGAGAAAAUAGGUCUG
rnacentral:lncRNA from 1 species